rnacentral:rRNA from 1 species
UGGGGAAUUUUGGACAAUGGGCGAAAGCCUGAUCCAGCAAUGCCGCGUGUGUGAAGAAGGCCUUCGGGUUGUAAAGCACUUUUGUCCGGAAAGAAAUCCUCUGGGUUAAUACCUCGGGGGGAUGACGGUACCGGAAGAAUAAGCACCGGCUAACUACGUGCCAGCAGCCGCGGUAAUACGUAGGGUGCAAGCGUUAAUCGGAAUUACUGGGCGUAAAGCGUGCGCAGGCGGUUUUGUAAGACGGAUGUGAAAUCCCCGGGCUUAACCUGGGAACUGCGUUCGUGACUGCAAGGCUAGAGUAUGGCAGAGGGGGGUAGAAUUCCACGUGUAGCAGUGAAAUGCGUAGAGAUGUGGAGGAAUACCGAUGGCGAAGGCAGCCCCCUGGGCCAAUACUGACGCUCAUGCACGAAAGCGUGGGGAGCAAACAGGAUUAGAUACCCUGGUAGUCCACGCCCUAAAACGAUGUCAACUAGUUGUUGGGGAUUCAUUUCCUUAGUAACGUAGCUAACGCGUGAAGUUGACCGCCUGGGGAGUACGGUCGCAAGAUUAAAACUCAAAUGAAUUGACGGGGUCAUAGCUGUUUCCU